UAGUGCUCUCUAUAUAAAACAGUUCACCUUGAUUGGUGCCUCGUUAAGCCAUGUCAUUGGAGGUUGUGAUUGACUAGGGAUAGAUUGUUGGUCAAUUAGCCUUCCUAACGCUCCUACUGUGUAGUAACCAUCUGAAUCCAGUCUUCUCUUCCAUUGGUCACACCCGUUAACCAAAUUAACCGUGGACAAGUCGUGGUAUAGAUUAACCAAAUCGUUGGAUAGGCCACAUUAUGAGGGACAAGAAUUCCGAUGACAUGCAAAGCUUCCAUCAAUGGAAGCCCAUGUGUUGUGGGACAAAAAGGGAGCAUUGAUAAAGUACGUUUUCGAUGGAAGCUUGCACAUGCAUAAAAAGACAGGUACAUCCCCGAAGCUGCUGAUGAAGAUGGCUUAAGUACCUUGCUGCACUUUAUAUAUUUUGCUUGUAUUACUUUGAUACUAUGUAAUGUAA